AUCACUCUUUGAAGCAGUGAGGGAUCCUUUGGAGACUUUUCAGAAGCCUUAGUAAGCUGUGGACAACAUAUAGGUAUCAUAAAAAAAGUUAGAAAACCAAAGCCUUUGACUUAAAUUCAUAAAAUAGCAACAGUAUCACAAACUUUCCUUGAAUUUCUGAGCUCAGAGAAGCCCUACUCUGUUGAGGAGCUGAAUCAAGUUGUUAGCUCUGGUCACAUUUUAUUGCUGUGAUAGGAAGGCAGGAUUCAUAAGUACACUGUCCAAGGGAAUAAGGCCAGAUAAAGUCCUAUAGGAGCAUUGCAGGCAAGUUCAGGUUAAGGGUCCAUGCCUUUGCCUGGGUCUCUUCUGAAAGUCAAGGACAUUUUAGGAAGUGUAUUUGGAAAAUGAUACCAGGAAACAGGUGUGAAGAACUGGGUCAUGCAGAAGCACAUGAAGGGUUGGUCAUUCCUAUGGGUGGCUGGCCCUUGCUUGUGCUGGAAGCCUCUGAGGACCUAUACAAAGCAGACUUGUUCUCCACAUGUGGCUCUUGAAGGACCUGCACUGACAACGACUUGACUGUGUUAUAGGUACCAAUUCAUGCUGGUUUCCAGCAAUGUCUGGAGUACGAGAAGGGCCAAAAGAAUGUGACAAGGAAUGUAUGAUUCAGGAGAGGAGAAAAUAAUAGGCCAGUUUAGAUCUGACAGCUCCUUCAAUACCCGAACUUCCUGGAGGAAGCCAGGAAAUCACUUUGUAAAGCAUUAAGCUCUUCAUAAAGGGCCUUAAGCUCCCAGAAGGAAGUGCACUGUAUAAUUGCAUAGGACCUUAGUGUACAGAAAACAUUAAUAAGACACAGGAGAAGCCGUAGCUAUUCAUGCUGUAGUAUAUCCUUGAGGCAGGUGGAGUGUUUCCAUCUGUUGAAAGUGGUUUCAAUGAUGCCUCCCGAUUGGGAUCAAGUUAAAGAGGAUGGAUUUUUCACUUUAUAAGGAAAGAGCUUCUAAAAGAGAGAUAUUCAUCUGCUCUCCUUCCCUCUGCUUUGGGGAUCUAAACCUGUGCAGUCUUCCAUCUCUGUUUUCUUUCAUAUAACCCCAGGAAAACUUCCUUCCUAUCCAGUUUUCUCCUCUCUCCUUUGACCCUAAAAAUGUCUUACAGGUGGUCAUGAUCUGAUUGGAAUUAUUUGAAGAAAGGAGAGAAAAUAGCCCAUUGAGAUGAGAGUUGAUACGGGUUGGUGGGGCAGGGAUGGUUCAGGUGUGGAGUAGAGAUAUUCAUCCCACUAGUCCUUGGUGAGUGAUGUUUCAUUCAACAGAAUACAUUUCUGGUUUUUAUUCAGAAACAUUUCUUAAUCUGGAGAGGCAAUAACAUGAGCUGUCAAGAUGGAGAGAGAGAAUAUCUUUGCAGGCUUUUUCUACUCUGGAUGAGGGGAACGUUAAAACUCAAUUUAAAAAGUCACUGGGAAUUUGGGGUUAAUAGAUGCAAACUAUUGCCUUUGGAAUGGAUAAGCAAUGAGAUCCUUCUAUAUAGCACUGGGAACUCUAUCUAGUCACUUAUAUUGGAGCAUAAUAAUGUGAGAAAAAAGAAUGCAUAUAUGUACGUGGGACUGGGUCACUGUACAGUAGAAAACUGACAGAAUGCUGUAAACUAGCUAUAAUAGAAAAAAAUAAAAAUCAUUUAAAAAAGUCACUGUCAUUGCCAUUUGGAAUCUACACGUCCAUAGAUCUUUCCCUGGGGAGAAAUGUUCAAUCUCUCCCUUAUCCCCCUGCCCCACUCCUUUUUAGGUCUUCCAUUCUAGGGCGCAUCUCCUAAACACUAAUGGUAUCUGAUGAUGACACUUAGUCUAUCUCUCUUGUUGGAAACUGAAAGUUUCCCCUACACAGGUCAGGGCAGGGAUGUCUCAGUUUCUUAGUGUCAAAGGAAGAGCGAUGGUGCUUUUCUAGCUUCCUUUGUAAGAAACAAUGGUAAGAUUCUGAGAAUAAAUAAUUCCCCAUUGGAGUAAAACUCUUAAAUUCAUCUUCUUAAAAUGUACAUUUUCCUCAUGUUCCUACUCAGUUCCUGACUCUACAAUGCAUCUCUAAUAAAAUAGCCCAGGUACUAGCCUAGGGCUCUGCCCUUUAAUGUCUAUGCCAAACCAAUCCCAAACUGUGUACCUUAUAGGCCCUCUAAUGAUGCCGUUGGCCCGUGAGCUGACACACAGGAUAGACUUAUCAAAUCAGACUGACGUCAAUUGGAGGUCUUACCAGGAUCCAGUUUACUAAUUCAUUUCCAGGAUACAGGCAAUCAAUAGGCAAGGGAUCUCCAGGCUAUCAAGAAUGGAUCCCUAGAUUCUUCCUUUCCUACUUGAAGAAGCCCUUCUGGUUCAGAACAGAUGGCCUCUGCAUUUUGGUGUUAUGCUUCUUAUACAAAGGGAAUCCUUUGGAACCUAAAAAGAGACCCAACAAUUUUAUGCUAAAAUUAAAAAAAAAUUACUCAAACACCCAGAGUGGAAGAAACUAUCUGGGAAUCCAAACCUUACCAUCCCUGAGCAAUAAAAUUAUUCUAAAAUGUUUUAAAAUUAAUUUUUUUUCUAUUUUUAAAUCAUACCAUUGUCAUAAUUUGGGAUUCAUUUUAUAGUCUAGUCCCACCAGGUAAUGAUUGAUCAGUCUAUGCUUCCACAAUUGUUCAGUCAGACAGAUGUUUUGGCAGGAAGACAUCUUUUUAAAUAACGUGAAAACAUAUAUUAUCCUUCUUUAUUCCUUAAUUUUGUACAGAAAGAAGAUUACUAAGCUGGACUGGAUCUCAGCUUUGUUGGGUUCCAAGUUUGGUUUAAAGUUUAAAUUAAAAAAAAAAAAGUGGAGUUCCCAUUGUGGCUCAAUGGAAACAAAUCCAACUAGUAUCCAUGAGUAUGCAGAUUCGAUCCCUGGCGUUGCUCAGUGGGUCAGGGCUUCAUCAUUGCUGUGAGCUGUGGUGUAGAUCACAGCUGUGGCUCAGAUCCCACAUUGCUGUGGCUGUGGUGUAGGCUGUCAGCUGUAGCUCCAAUUUGACCCCUAGCCUGGGAACUUCAUAUGCUGUGGGU
rnacentral:lncRNA from 1 species